rnacentral:rRNA from 1 species
UGGGGAAUAUUGGACAAUGGGGGCAACCCUGAUCCAGCAAUGCCGCGUGGGUGAAGAAGGUCUUCGGAUUGUAAAGCCCUUUCGGCGGGGACGAUGAUGACGGUACCCGCAGAAGAAGCCCCGGCUAACUUCGUGCCAGCAGCCGCGGUAAUACGAAGGGGGCUAGCGUUGCUCGGAAUUACUGGGCGUAAAGGGCGCGUAGGCGGCUCUGCAAGUCAGGCGUGAAAUUCCUGGGCUCAACCUGGGGGCUGCGCUUGAGACUGUGGAGCUAGAGGAUGGAAGAGGGUCGUGGAAUUCCCAGUGUAGAGGUGAAAUUCGUAGAUAUUGGGAAGAACACCGGUGGCGAAGGCGGCGACCUGGUCCAUUACUGACGCUGAGGCGCGACAGCGUGGGGAGCAAACAGG